AGAGCGAACGCUGGCGGCAUGCUUAACACAUGCAAGUCUCACGGGCAGCAAUGUCAGUGGCGGACGGGUGAGUAACGCGUAGGUAUCUAUCCUUGGGUGGGGGAUAACGUUGGGAAACUGACGCUAAUACCGCAUGACACCUGUGGGUCAAAGGCGCGAGUCGCCUGGGGAGGAGCCUGCGUACGAUUAGCUUGUUGGCGGGGUAAAGGCCUACCAAGGCUACGAUCGUUAGCUGGUCUGAGAGGAUGAUCAGCCACACUGGGACUGAGACACGGCCCAGACUCCUACGGGAGGCAGCAGUGGGGAAUAUUGGACAAUGGGCGAAAGCCUGAUCCAGCAAUGCCGCGUGUGUGAAGAAGGUCUUCGGAUUGUAAAGCACUUUCGGCGGGGACGAUGAUGACGGUACCCGCAGAAGAAGCCCCGGCUAACUUCGUGCCAGCAGCCGC
rnacentral:rRNA from 1 species